GUAAUUGUUGAUGUGAAAUUUACAUAACACAAAAUUAACCAAAGGAGUGUGAACCACACAGCAGCAUUCAGUAUACUCAAAAUGGUGUGCCAUCACCAUCCCACUUACCCUUAGUGAGAAUCACCUCCUGACUGACUGCGGCUUCUCAUUCUUUCACUCAAUCAAUGUUGCCUUCUCGACCCUGUCAUUCUUUUCUUCUUUCGUCUUUUCAAUUCGCCCUAUCUGCAUCUGGCCUCAUUUCUGUACAUGGCUUUGUAUCUAAUGGCCGCAAGAUGCACUAUGUGUAUUUUCACAUGGAAAUGUCCAUGGCCAGAGUGAGGAACUGAAAGGAUGUCUUUUUGAAACGGAAUUAGGAAGACACCUACUUUUGUUUACAGAGGGGAAAGAUGAAUGGAACAUCAUCGAGGAUCUUGCAGG
rnacentral:lncRNA from 10 species